CUCUCGUGGCCAGUGAAAUCAAGCGUGGGUGAGACCUGUUGCAAGAGGGAAGGCGACCCAUACUUGGUUUCAGAGGCUGUGAGAA
rnacentral:pre_miRNA from 17 species